AGGUUCAUAGGAAGCGUGGCGUUGAUCUGGUCCGGCCGAGGCUUUGGGCUCGACAGCAAAGUGAGAGUGGAGUAUAAGUAGUAGAGGCGGCGACCGGUGGUGAUCCCGCCGUUCCCUAUCUCCGAUGUAUCGAGCUAUUCCUGUUAUGAGGCUUGGAGCUUCAAGAUUUGGAAUUCGACUCGUUGUCUCGAUUGGUUUGUCUGCUCGGCUUCUGCAGCCAUCUUGAACAUGCGGUGGAUGACUGAUUGGCGCCUUGGGAGUUUGAAUUGGAGUGAUGGUUGGGUGGAUCGGCAGCGGAUGAGUGUAUGAUCUGGCGUUGGGGCUGCAGAUCUUUGUAGAGGUUGUUGGCGUGGUUUUCAUUGCGAUUUUUGUUGUAUUACAGUAUUAGGAUCUCUGAUUAUGUCAAAUUCCGUGCUUGAGAUAAUCUGAAUUUUGGAUAUGCUGCCUUUGUACUCAAUUGCAAACCUAAUAGCAAUAAAGUUGUUCCCAACGCCUAGAAAUAUAUCUUUCUCGGUUAUGUGGGCAAACCAAAAGAGGUACAAAUGCUAUAUACCUAAGAAAACAAAAACAUUAAUUUCCAUAGAUGUAACGUUUUUUGAGAAUUAA